UCUAUACGUCCCUUUGUUGCACAAUUUCCCAAAAACAAUGAUUUUAAAAUGCAGCAAAAGGACAACUACCUUUGGACGCUGAGGUUUUGUAUGGUGCAUCAAUAUAGGAUCGUUCUACGAAGUUGGUAAGAGUAAAUAAAUGUAUAUUGACUUUUUGUUUUUGGCUAAAUAAAAAUGUAUAUGAUGGACAUCGAUGGCCCAGUAAAGAAAAUAGAGUAAUUAGACACACUAUGUGGAAUGCAGAGGACAAAAAAGGACAAUUGAAGUUCCUUUAUGAUUGUGGCACCUAAAAUUGGGUACAGAGCCAAUAAUAUCAUUGUGUAACAAAUUUCAUAGCUCAUUUGGGAAACCUCAAAAUAGCCAAGUGCAAUUUGGCUCUUGCAUCUGUGCUCUCAAAAUAGCCAAGUGCAAUUUGGCUUUUGCAUCUGUGCUGCAUGAUUGCACCAUACCUUGAAUGGAAAUCCUAAAUGUUUAGCUUCUAGAUGAUCUCCCUGUGCAGAAUAGCUUGGACAACCUGAGGCAUGUCCUUGGGAGCCAUUUACAUUGUUUUUUAUGUUACCCAGAAUACUCUAGAGAAAAAGAGUGCAUCAACCCACACAUGAAUAUCAGAGAUAGUUCUGAAUUUCUUGUACUGUCUUUCCCUCUUCUUGUCAAACUUAAGAGUUCUUUUGGGGGUUCUGGGGGUUCAAGAAUGUAAACAGGGGAUUCAAUGGUUUUGAAAGAAAUAGCAGGGGUUGCGAGGAAGCAAGAAUUGGACUUGGUUAAGUCGGAUGAUGUAUAAGGUCGUUCUACAUCAGUUAGAUCAGAGCACACUAGUAAGUGGUGAAGUGUUCAACGUGAUAUACGCGGAUAUAGACGGCUUAUUCUUGUUAAAGGGAUUACUUCUUGGUGUUCGGCUGUCAAUAAACACGACAUGAGGAUAAAUAGGAGUGCCUCUAUUUUCACUCUCAUUGCGUGUCAGUGAACACCUCUCUUUGAACAAGAGUUUAAACUCGUAGAUUUUUCUCUAUUAUUGCAUUAAUGAUUAUAUAGCACCAGAAAUGGAGAAUCUUUGUUAAUAACCAAGAGAACAGUACGAUGAAAGAAUAUAAGGCAUUCCUACUGUCACAAUGGUUUGGAAUGGAAGGUGCAUACUUGAGUUGUCAAAACUGGUAAUGUAUUUCUGUAUUCAAGCACACUUACAACUGAAUUACAAUCAUGCUCUUAUAGAGCUCAUACCAUGAUUACACUCUGUGUAUUACAGCUAGAAAGCAUACAUAUACACCUCUGUCAAUAUUAGUAUAUUCCAGCUGCAGCAUUGCUGGAAAGCAUAGUGAGCUGCAGCAUUGCUGGAAAGCAUAGUGAGCUGCAGCAUUGCUGGAAAGCAUAGUGUGCUACAGCUCAUGUAACACUCUCCCUCAAGUUGGGGAAUAGAUGUCUCGCAUACCCAACUUGUCUAGUGAGUUGUGGAACACUUUUCCAGAAACUGCUUUGGUCAGGAUAUCUGCAAGUUGA